rnacentral:rRNA from 1 species
AUUGAACGCUGGCGGCAGGCUUAACACAUGCAAGUCGAGCGGGGAGAUGUAGCUUGCUACAUUUCCUAGCGGCGGACGGGUGAGUAAUGCUUAGGAAUCUGCCUAUUAGUGGGGGACAACGUUUCGAAAGGAACGCUAAUACCGCAGACGCCCUACGGGGGAAGGCAGGGGAUCUUCGGACCUUGCGCUAAUAGAUGAGCCUAAGUCAGAUUAGCUAGUUGGUGGGGUAAAGGCCUACCAAGGCGACGAUCUGUAGCGGGUCUGAGAGGAUGAUCCGCCACACUGGGACUGAGACACGGCCCAGACUUCUACGGGAGGCAGCAGUGGGGAAUAUUGGACAAUGGGGGGAACCCUGAUCCAGCCAUGCCGCGUGUGUGAAGAAGGCCUUUUGGUUGUAAAGCACUUUAAGCGAGGAGGAGGCUCUUCUAGUUAAUACCUAGGAUGAGUGGACGUUACUCGCAGAAUAAGCACCGGCUAACUCUGUGCCAGCAGCCGCGGUAACAC